UACAGGGGGUGCAAACGUUGCUCGGAAUCAUUGGGCGUAAAGCGCACGUAGGCGGUUCGUUAUGUCGGAUGUGAAAGCCCUUGGCUUAACCGAGGAAGUGCAUCCGAAACUGGCGAGCUAGAGUACGAAAGAGGAUCGCGGAAUUCCCGGUGUAGAGGUGAAAUUCGUAGAUAUCGGGAGGAACGCCGGUGGCGAAGGCGGCGAUCUGGGUCGAUACUGACGCUGAGGUGCGAAAGCCAGGGGAGCAAACGGG
rnacentral:rRNA from 1 species